AGAGUUUGAUCCUGGCUCAGGACGAACGCUGGCGGCGUGCUUAACACAUGCAAGUCGAACGAUGAUGCCCAGCUUGCUGGGUGGAUUAGUGGCGAACGGGUGAGUAACACGUGAGUAACCUGCCCCUGACUCUGGGAUAAGCGUUGGAAACGACGUCUAAUACUGGAUAUGAUCACUGGCCGCAUGGUCUGGUGGUGGAAAGAUUUUUUGGUUGGGGAUGGACUCGCGGCCUAUCAGCUUGUUGGUGAGGUAAUGGCUCACCAAGGCGACGACGGGUAGCCGGCCUGAGAGGGUGACCGGCCACACUGGGACUGAGACACGGCCCAGACUCCUACGGGAGGCAGCAGUGGGGAAUAUUGCACAAUGGGCGAAAGCCUGAUGCAGCAACGCCGCGUGAGGGAUGACGGCCUUCGGGUUGUAAACCUCUUUUAGUAGGGAAGAAGCGAAAGUGACGGUACCUGCAGAAAAAGCACCGGCUAACUACGUGCCAGCAGCCGCGGUAAUACGUAGGGUGCAAGCGUUGUCCGGAAUUAUUGGGCGUAAAGAGCUCGUAGGCGGUUUGUCGCGUCUGCUGUGAAAUCCCGAGGCUCAACCUCGGGCUUGCAGUGGGUACGGGCAGACUAGAGUGCGGUAGGGGAGAUUGGAAUUCCUGGUGUAGCGGUGGAAUGCGCAGAUAUCAGGAGGAACACCGAUGGCGAAAGCAGAUCUCUGGGCCGUAACUGACGCUGAGGAGCGAAAGCAUGGGGAGCGAACAGGAUUAGAUACCCUGGUAGUCCAUGCCGUAAACGUUGGGCGCUAGAUGUAGGGACCUUUCCACGGUUUCCGUGUCGUAGCUAACGCAUUAAGCGCCCCGCCUGGGGAGUACGGCCG
rnacentral:rRNA from 1 species